rnacentral:tRNA from 1 species
GCGCCCAUAGCUCAACUGGAUAGAGCAUUUGACUACGGAUCAAAAGGUUGGGGGUUCGAAUCCCUUUGGGCGUACCA